rnacentral:rRNA from 1 species
AGUGAACGCUGGCGGCGUGCCUAACACAUGCAAGUCGAACGGAGUGGCUCACGGGCGAGUAAUUUAUAGCUAGUCAGCCCUACACUAGAGGACAACAGUUGGAAACGGCUGCUAAUACUCUAUAGUUUAGGUUGAGUCUAUAUUGUAUCAGCUAGUUGGUGAGGUAAUGGCUCACCAAGGCUAUGACGCAUAACUGGUCGGAGAGGAUGAUCAGUCACACUGGAACUGAGACACGGUCCAGGCUCCUACGGGAAGCAGCCGUAGGGAAUAUUGCUCAAUGGGGGAAACCCUGAAGCAGCAACGCCGCGUGGAGGAUGACACUUUUCGGAGCGUAAACUCCUUUUGUUAGGGAAGCGGUACCUAACGAAUAAGCACCGGCUAACUCCGUGCCAGCAGCCGCGGUAAUUC